GAUGAACGCUGACAGAAUGCUUAACACAUGCAAGUCUUUGGCGAAGCUGUGCUUGCACAGCCUAGCCAAGGCGGACGGGUGAGUAACGCGUAAGGAACUUGCCCUGCAGUCAGGGAUAACAGACGGAAACGACUGAUAAGACCUGGUAAAGUCAGGCGGACUCAUGUCCAGCCUGAUGAAAAGAGAUGCUGCAGGAGAGCCUUGCGUCCUAUUAGCUUGUUGGUGGGGUAACGGCCCACCAAGGCGAUGAUAGGUAGCCGGCCUGAGAGGGUGGACGGCCACAAGGGGACUGAGAUACGGCCCUUACUCCUACGGGAGGCAGCAGUGGGGAAUAUUGGACAAUGGGGGCAACCCUGAUCCAGCAAUUCGGUGUGCACGAUGAAGGUUUUCGGAUUGUAAAGUGCUUUCAGCAGGGAAGAAAAAAAGGACGGUACCUGCAGAAGAAGCGACGGCUAAAUACGU
rnacentral:rRNA from 1 species